rnacentral:rRNA from 1 species
AUUGAACGCUGGCGGCAGGCCUAACACAUGCUAGUCGAGCGGAGCGUCGGACGGGUGAGUACUGCCUAGUAAUCUGCCUGGUAGUGGGGGAUACCGUCCGGAAGCGGGCGCUAAUACCGCAUGCUAUCAGAUGAGCCUAGGUUGUAUUAGCUAGUUGGUGGGGUAAAGGCCUACCAAGGCGACGAUGCGUAACUGGGCUGAGAGGAUGAUCAGUCACACUGGAACUGAGACACGGUCCAGACUCCUACGGGAGGCAGCAGUGGGGAAUUUUGGACAAUGGGCGAAACCCUGACCGAGCCAUCCCGCGUGUGCGAUGAAGGCCUUCGGGUUGUAAAGCUCUUUUGGCAGAAAAGCGGUAUCUGCAGAGUAAGCACCGGCUAACUACGUGCCAGCAGCCGCGGUAAUUC